AUUGAACGCUGGCGGCAUGCCUAACACAUGCAAGUCGAACGGCAGCACAGCAAAGACUUCGGUCUUUAUGGGUGGCGAGUGGCGGACGGGUGAGUAACGCGUAGGAAUCUGUCCUGGAGGGUGGGAUAACCCGAGGAAACUCGGGCUAAUACCGCAUGAUAUCGAGAGAUCAAAAGCAGGGGACCCUUCGGGGCCUUGCGCUCUAGGAUGAGCCUACGUCGGAUGAGCUUGUUGGUGAUGUAACGGCUGCCCAAGGGAGCGAGGGGUAGGUGGUCUGAGAGGACGAUCAGACACACUGGGACUGAGACACGGCCCAGACUCCUACGGGAGGCAGCAGUGGGGAAUCUUGCGCAAUGCGCGAAAGCGUGACGCAGCAACGCCGCGUGAGGGAAGAAGGCCUUCGGGUUGUAAACCUCUUUCAGGAGGGACGAAGGUUCAGGCGCGAAUAGCGUCCUGGACUGACGGUACCUCCAGAAGAAGCCCCGGCUAACUACGUGCCAGCCGCCGCCGUAA
rnacentral:rRNA from 1 species